rnacentral:rRNA from 1 species
UGGGGAAUAUUGCACAAUGGGGGAAACCCUGAUGCAGCGACGCCGCGUGAGCGAAGAAGGUUUUCGAAUCGUAAAGCUCUGUCCUAUGAGAAGAUAAUGACGGUAACCGGAGAAGAAGCCCCGGCUAACUUCGUGCCAGCAGCCGCGGUAAUACGAAGGGGGCUAGCGUUGUUCGGAUUUACUGGGCGUAAAGCGCACGUAGGCGGACUUUUAAGUCAGGGGUGAAAUCCCGGGGCUCAACCCCGGAACUGCCUUUGAUACUGGAAGUCUUGAGUAUGGUAGAGGUGAGUGGAAUUCCGAGUGUAGAGGUGAAAUUCGUAGAUAUUCGGAGGAACACCAGUGGCGAAGGCGGCUCACUGGACCAUUACUGACGCUGAGGUGCGAAAGCGUGGGGAGCAAACAGG